CGCUGGCGGCGUGCCUAACACAUGCAAGUCGAACGGAAGCAGAGAUUUCGGUUUCUGCUUUAGUGGCGAACGGGUGAGUAACGCGUGAGAAACCUGCCUCUCAGUGGGGGACAACAGUUGGAAACGACUGCUAAUACCGCAUAACACUUUAGUACCGCAUGGUACAGAAGUCAAAGCUUAAUGUGCUGAGAGAUGGUCUCGCGUCUGAUUAGCUAGAUGGUGGGGUAACGGCUCACCAAGUCGACGAUCAGUAGCCGGACUGAGAGGUUGAACGGCCACAUUGGGACUGAGACACGGCCCAGACUCCUACGGGAGGCAGCAGUGGGGAAUAUUGCACAAUGGGCGCAAGCCUGAUGCAGCAACGCCGCGUGAGGGAUGACGGUCUUCGGAUUGUAAACCUCUGUCCUUGGUGACGAAACAAAUGACGGUAGCCAUGGAGGAAGCCACGGCUAACUACGUG
rnacentral:rRNA from 1 species